ensembl:rRNA 5S_rRNA 5S ribosomal RNA
GCUUACGGCCAUACCAGCCGAAGAAUGCCCGAUCUCAUCUGAUCUGAAGCUAAGAAGGCUUGGGCCUGGUUAGUACUUGGAUGGGUGACUGCCUGGGAAUACCAGGUGUAAUCA